rnacentral:misc_RNA from 1 species
CCCGGCCGCUAUCGUUUGUGGCUUCGCCAACACACAAGACGCUUUCACCCUACCUUGGUCCCACGACUUGCCCUCAGCGCAACGCAGACUUCCGCCCCACUCCUCUCACAAGCCCUCGCAGCAGCCAUUGCACUCGCACACCCGCACACACACAUACACACAAAGGACAACGACGACGACAACGACGGCGAGAAAAUUAAAAAAAAAACGAACGGAAAGGCGGUAUGCGACGGCACGGCGGGUGCGGUACGAACGUGAUGACGAGACGUACCUCCCUGAUCGCCCCGCUCUCCUCUACUUGCGCCCUGCUGCCGACGACGGCGCACGCGGGGGCGCCGUCUCUGCCGGCGUUUUUCUCCGCCCCGCUUCACACGGCGCAGCGGCAUAAGUCCUUCGCGGCCACGAUCCACGACAUGACAAUCAUGCGCAUGGGGUCCUCGUACAAGCCGGGUACGUACAGCUCCAAGGACAUCAGCUCGGGUCCGCAGGCCGGCAUCGGCCAUGACCCUGUCUUCGCCAGCUUCCUCUUGAAGAAGAUUGUGGGGCCGCUGCGGCGCAAGCAGAGCAACUCGCCGGAGGACUUCCUCAACGUGGACGAAGCUGGCAAGUGGAUGGACGCCAAGAACGCGGCGAAGGUGCUCGGCAUCAAGGAGGAGGAGCUGCCAAAGUUGACCAAGACGACGCUGGAGGAUGCGUUCAGAAAGGAGUACAAGGGGCGCACAAACGCCCAUCAAGAAGAGGUGGUGAUCGCGACGGAGGUUCUCCUCGAGUACCUCGACUCGUCCGUGUACGUGAAGAAGAGCCGGCAGUACUACCGCAAGUUCCUGGAGAACGCCAGGCUCGAGGUGGAUGCCGAGCUGACCAGGGAGCAGCGCGAGCGCAAUGAGUCGCUCAUAUGGUGGUUCGGUAUCGCAAUCACCGGCGCCUGCGCCGUCGUCUUCUUUGUUGCCUACUCCCGCAAGUAUGUCACGCGCAGUGACGUGGCCAACAUCGGCACCAAGACGUCCGAGUACUUUGUUAUGACGUUCCUGCAGCCGAAGAACACGGAGCCGAAGCCGGACUACAAUACCCGGUACUUCAACACACCCAGCUCCAUGGAGCUGGACAAGAAGAACGGCCGCUACGCUAAGCAGUUUUUGAGCGCGGAGGAGAUUCGCCACGCUGAGCGCUCAGCAGCCUACGUGAAGCAAGAGGAGGCCGAGAUGUUGAAGCUGUUCAACGAUGAGCGGGAGCGUAGCGUGCGUGAUCGCCAGGAUGACAAGGCUCUCGAGAGCCGCGUCUCCGUCUACCUUCCCGAAAAGGUCGAGACGGCCGAGCAGCCUGCGCGAUCGCGUGACAGCAGCGACAAGACCGCGUUUGAGAAGUUGACCUUCCAGGAGUUCAGUGGCAUGCUGGCCAGCAACUUCGGCGGCGGCUCGCGCUUUCAGCGGCUGACGGAGGAGACAUCGUCGCGCACGGAGCGCUUGAACGCCGCGCGUGAGCGAAUCAAGUCGGCGAGCUCGUAGCGGCGUUGAGUCGGCGUUUGUAGAGGGGAGGGCUGGGGAGAGGAGACCAGGGCACGGGUGGUGGUGGUGGUGAUGGAUGCGCUGGGCGUGGACGGCCCCAGGCACCUUUUGCUGUCUUCUUGUCUGUCUCCUGGCUUUGCUUGCUUGCCUUCAGCUCUAACAGCGGCUUGGGAGCGACAGGGCGUGCGCGCGUGAAGGGUGUCGCCGGUGCUCGCAGACGUUGACAUGCCCGUAGUUUACAUACGCGGCCUACGCUUCACUGGUGUCUCUCCUCCCAG